ACACUUAUAGCUUAAAGGUAAGGCGCUCCGUUUCGGCCGGAGAAAUGUAGGUUCAAUUCCUGCUGGGUGUA
rnacentral:tRNA from 1 species